UACGGAGGAUCCAAGCGUUAUCCGGAAUCAUUGGGUUUAAAGGGUCCGUAGGCGGUUUUGUAAGUCAGUGGUGAAAGCCCAUCGCCCAACGGUGGAACGGCCAUUGAUACUGCAAGACUUGAAUUAUUGGGAAGUAACUAGAAUAUGUAGUGUAGCGGUGAAAUGCUUAGAGAUUACAUGGAAUACCAAUUGCGAGGGCAGGUUACUACCAAUAUAUUGACGCUGAUGGACGAAAGCGUGGGGAGCGAACAGG
rnacentral:rRNA from 1 species